GCGUAGUUGGCCGAGUGGUCUAAGGCGUCGGUCUUAAGAUCCGAUAUGGUAACAUGCGUGGGUUCAAACCCCACACUACGCA